CUCAAAUCUGAAGACCCUAGGUCUCUAUCACUUAUGGUUUACCAGUUAGAAAUGCAUAUAACUUAUAUCAUUUACAUAAGGGGAAAUAACUCUCAUAUGGAGUCUAUGGAAAGCUUCGGUCCAAAUGAAUUGCCUAAUCCUGAAGAAGUAACGAGCAAUUUGGUAAAAUAAAUUUGUCGUAAUCUUUUACGGUUGCGAAGGAGUAGUGGCCACAAGAAAAACAGUGUUUGGGGAGAUAACUCUUACAACACAAAGUAUUUGGUUACGCAGUUGUCAGUUUUAAAAGCGCAUACACUUUACGAUAUCAUAUUCCAAAUAUCGAAGCGACAUCUUUUGAAACAUCAAUACUACGAAGGAAAAAAAUUAGGCGGAAGAAAAAAAAAAAAAAAAAAAAAAAUAAUAAUCAGAACAAAUUCAAUAGGUCUUUCCACGGAAAGGUGGAAAGACCUAAUAAUCAGAACAAAACCUAUAGGUCUUUCCACGGAAAGGUGGAAAGACCUAAUAAUAAUCAGAACAAACCCUAUAGGUCUUUCCACGGAAAGGUGGAAAGACCUAAUAAUAAUCAGAACAAAAAC
rnacentral:lncRNA from 1 species